rnacentral:rRNA from 1 species
UACGGAGGGUGCAAGCGUUGUCCGGAAUCACUGGGCGUAAAGGGCGCGUAGGCGGCUCAUGAAGGCUGUGGUGAAAGUCCGGGGCUCAACCUCGGAUCGGCCGUGGCGACUCGUGGGCUGGAGCACUGUAGAGGCGGGUGGAAUUCCGGGUGUAGCGGUGGAAUGCGUAGAGAUCCGGAAGAACACCAGUGGCGAAGGCGGCCCGCUGGGCAGUGGCUGACACUGAGACGCGAAAGCGUGGGGAGCAAACAGG